CUGAGAUAAUACACUAUAAUGGGAUUCCCUAGACCUAUAGGAAAACAAUUCUUUUCCCCAAGCAAGUUGGACUUCGGCACCUGCAACAAUUUUUUUAAUUUCUUAACAUAUAUCAUUCUACAAAAUUUGUUUUCCUCCCUUUCCUCCUCCAAUAGAAUGCCUUCUUUCAGGAAAUAAUGAAAUAAAUGAUUUUUUAAAUUAAUAAAUAAGUGUUACUUUAGAUUUUUUAUUUUUAAAAAAAAAUCUAAUACCCUGGUUGAGCCACCAACUUUUUUUUUAAUUAUUAUUAUUAUUAGAAACAAAUGAUUAUUAAUUAUAGGUAAAAAGAACAUGAGAAGGAUGAGAUGUCCUCCCCACAAUAAUAAAAACCCAAUCAAAAAAUGAUUAAAACCCUCCACUAUAAAAGGAUGCCCAUACAAAAAGGUUAAAUCCACAUAAGAAUAUACAUGGAUGUCGUUUCCUUAAACCUUAACUAAGCUUCUACUAAUGUUACCCUGUCCCAUUUUAUCCACACGUCGAAUGCCGAUUGAGUUGAAUAACAUUGAGAGGAAUGCCUUUUAAAAGCAUCAGUGCAAGAGGCCUAAAAAGAUGAUAAAAGUGAAAUAAAUCCCACAACAUUUCUAACAACCACUUUCCACACAAUCCAAAACAAAGUGACAAAAACAAUUUGCCAAAGGGUCUUGCCUCUAAUGGAUCUUCUCAAAUCCUUAUAUAAAAUGAUCAUCAUAUUGCAUAUGCUCCUUAGUGGAACCCAAUCCAACCUGGUUUGUCUAAAUAGCCUUAGCCAAAGCUCCACACUUCACACGUAUAAAGACAAAUUAACACUUACAAGUUAAAGAUAAAUAGACGAGGGAACAAACAUUAGGAGACUCAAACUCGAGACCUCUUGUUAUUUUUAUUUUUUUAGGUAAAAAACAAAAUAUAUUAAAAAAAAAAAGCUUGGAAAAGGUGCAUCAAGUACACAUGGAGUAUGCAAAACGCGCUGAAAGCAAAAGGGAGAAACAAACAAACACUGCCCAAUACAAAAACCAUGCCCUAAAGUUCAAGAAAAACAAAAGGCACUCAUGCGACCAACAUGCAACCUAAUCAAAACUGCUAACACCUGACUAAACAGAGCCUAGCCCUAAC
rnacentral:lncRNA from 1 species